rnacentral:lncRNA from 1 species
UGUUUUGCUGAUCUGUACUUCUUUACUAGAAUAUUAGCGUUAUUUGAUGCACAAAAUAAGGUGCAUUAGUGUUCCAAGUUGUCCUCCAUACUAUAUUUUACCUUUGCACCGGAAAGAGGUUAAUAGCAAAAACAAUGAUGGGUGGUGAUCACCGAUUUUCAAUCAUUUAUUAAACUGGUAAAACCUGACAAAUGGGUAACAUAUUAUGCAUCAUUGAAGAGCUAAAUAUCUGAAUUUUAUUUAUUUCAAUCAUAUUUGUUCCGUUUAGUUCGA